rnacentral:rRNA from 1 species
UACGUUCCCGGGCCUUGUACACACCGCCCGUCAAGUCAUGAAAGUCGGUAACACCCGAAGCCGGUGGCCCAACCCUUGUGGAGGGAGCCGUCGAAGGUGGGAUCGGUAAUUAGGACU